rfam:Clostridium beijerinckii NCIMB 8052, complete genome.
AAAUGUUACUAGCACACUUAUUGAAAGAUAAGGCCGCAAAGCCAUGAGUCUAAGGGAAUUUACAUUUCUAUGAUUGUCAGGUUGCCAAA